AAAUGAAUAGACGGGGGCCCGCACAAGCAGCGGAGCAUGUGGUUUAAUUCGAAGCAACGCGAAGAACCUUACCAGGGCUUGACAUCCCUCUGACUGGUAUAGAGAUAUACCUUCUCUUCGGAGCAGAGGAGACAGGUGGUGCAUGGUUGUCGUCAGCUCGUGUCGUGAGAUGUUGGGUUAAGUCCCGCAACGAGCGCAACCCCUAUCUUUAGUUACCAGCACGUCAUGGUGGGGACUCUAGAGAGACUGCCGGGGAUAACUCGGAGGAAGGUGGGGAUGACGUCAAAUCAUCAUGCCCCUUAUGUCCUGGGCUACACACGUGCUACAAUGGCCUGUAACAAAGGGAAGCGAAGCUGUGAAGUGGAGCAAAACCCAGAAACCAGGUCUCAGUUCGGAUUGUGGGCUGCAACUCGCCCACAUGAAGUCGGAGUUGCUAGUAAUCGCGAAUCAGCAUGUCGCGGUGAAUGCGUUCCCGGGCCUUGUACACACCGCCCGU
rnacentral:rRNA from 1 species